GACGAACGCUGGCGGCGUGCCUAAUACAUGCAAGUCGAGCGAAUCUUUUGGGAGCUUGCUCCCGAAAGAUUAGCGGCGGACGGGUGAGUAACACGUGGGCAACCUGCCUAUAAGACUGGGAUAACUUCGGGAAACCGGAGCUAAUACCGGAUACGUUCUUUUCUCGCAUGAGAGAAGAUGGAAAGACGGUCUCGGCUGUCACUUAUAGAUGGGCCCGCGGCGCAUUAGCUAGUUGGUGGGGUAAUGGCUCACCAAGGCGACGAUGCGUAGCCGACCUGAGAGGGUGAUCGGCCACACUGGGACUGAGACACGGCCCAGACUCCUACGGGAGGCAGCAGUAGGGAAUCUUCCGCAAUGGACGAAAGUCUGACGGAGCAACGCCGCGUGAACGAAGAAGGCCUUCGGGUCGUAAAGUUCUGUUGUUAGGGAAGAACAAGUACCAGAGUAACUGCUGGUACCUUGACGGUACCUAACCAGAAAGCCACGGCUAACUACGUGCCAGCCGCCGCGGUAAGAC
rnacentral:rRNA from 1 species